rnacentral:lncRNA from 1 species
GUUCUUGAGGAGGGAAGCACUCUCCAUCCCUCCUCUGCUUUGGGAAAAAGAGAAUACAAGAUAAGGGAGAAGACAGGGGAAGAAGGGGGAAAAGUGAAGGGGGUACAUAGGAAAAGGACAGCAGUGAAAGGCUAGAGUGUGCAGGGGGGCCGGCGACGGUGAGGGCGGCAGGUUGAAGCAGGAGCGUGGGCGCUGGGGCAGGGGCAGCUGCCCCUACUUGGAGGCGGUAUGUGCUGCGCCCCUCAGCUAGACACUGUUGGAGUGUGCUCGGACCACAGAGCCCACACAGCCGGGCAAGUCUGUGCCAUUCGGGAUUCCCAUGGUCCUCAUCAUAUCACCAGGUCCACCACACAUCUUCCAGAAAGACCACGAUGAACAAAAGCACGGCCCCAGGGCUUGGGCGCACUGGUCCCAGGACACUGGCCUCCUGAUCACUGGUGGAGGCGACCAGCAAAAUGUUGCCCCAGAGAUCUCCUGAGCACCUGGGAUGCACAGAUGACUGGCGUGAGAGAGCACAUGGAGCAGAGCGGCUAGGUAAGGAUGGUGCCUGCUAACCCAGCACUGAGCAAAGCAGUGGUGGCAGUGGCUGACCGGUUUCUUGCCUUAGUGCUUUUAAAAAGGAGGAAACUAUUUGCUGUGGGGGUAGGAAAUGUCCUUACUCUGGGGAGUUUAAAGAUCUGAGGAGGGAGGGGAGAAUUGGUUUGUGGGCAUGAUAAUCUUAUGAGACCAUCAUGAUGCUUGAAGCAUGAAUCAUGGCUUCCUGUGUUUAAAACAAUGGCUGUGUGUCUAGUUAAGAGAUGCUGCAUAAGAACACACACUUCAGAAAGAGGAGAGCUGCCCCUAGAACAAAUCCACACAUUUCCAGAAGAUAUGUGGUAGUAGCUUAUUUAAAAAGGCCGAAAAACAUCUGCGGUCUUAUCUUCCAAAUGUGGUGGCAUAGAUAUGGCAUUGGGGGCACCUUCUUGUUCUGGGAGCUGGUACUGGGGAGUAUAUUUGGAACAUGCCUGCUUCUCUAAUGUGCAUUCAACAUGCCACAGACAUGUGGUUUAGAUCAUACACACCUAUCAUGGAGUAAUCUGUCUUUAGAUUUUGUUUACAUAGUUCAUCACAAUUAAUAUGUGAUUAACUCCUGUUGAGCUAGAAAGUACAUUCAUUUUGAAAUGGGUUUCCAAAUCUGAGUGGGAACCAUGAGGUUGUGGGUUUGAUCCAUGGUCUUGCUCAGUGGGUAAGGAUCUAUCAUUGCUUUGAGCUGUGGUGUAGGUCAAGAUGUGGCUUGGAUCUGGCAUUGCUGUGGCUCUGGCAUAGGCCAGCAGCCGUAGCUCUGAUUGGACCCCCUAGCCUGGGAACCU